rnacentral:rRNA from 1 species
AAUAGAUACCCGGGUAGUCCACGCCGUAAACGAUGAGUGCUAAGUGUUAGGGGGUUUCCGCCCCUUAGUGCUGCAGCUAACGCAUUAAGCACUCCGCCUGGGGAGUACGGUCGCAAGACUGAAACUCAAAGGAAUUGACGGGGGCCCGCACAAGCGGUGGAGCAUGUGGUUUAAUUCGAAGCAACGCGAAGAACCUUACCAGGUCUUGACAUCCCAUUGACCACUAUGGAGACAUAGUUUUCCCUUCGGGGACAACGGUGACAGGUGGUGCAUGGUUGUCGUCAGCUCGUGUCGUGAGAUGUUGGGUUAAGUCCCGCAACGAGCGCAACCCUUGUUCUUAGUUGCCAUCAUUUAGUUGGGCACUCUAAGGAGACUGCCGGUGACAAACCGGAGGAAGGUGGGGAUGACGUCAAAUCAUCAUGCCCCUUAUGACCUGGGCUACACACGUGCUACAAUGGACGGUACAAACGGUUGCCAACCCGCGAGGGGGAGCUAAUCCGAUAAAACCGUUCUCAGUUCGGAUUGUAGGCUGCAACUCGCCUACAUGAAGGACC